UAACAAGGAUUCCCCUAGUAACUGCGAGUGAAGCGGGAAAAGCUCAAAUUUAAAAUCUGACGGUUUCACCGUCCGAAUUGUAAUCUGGAGAAGCAUUUUCCGUGUCGGACCGUGUACAAGUUUCUUGGAAUAGAACGUCAUAGAGGGUGAGAAUCCCGUCCAUGACACGGACUACUGAUGCUUUGUGAUAUGCUCUCGAAGAGUCGAGUUGUUUGGGAAUGCAGCUCAAAAUGGGUGGUAAAUUCCAUCUAAAGCUAAAUAUUGGCGAGAGACCGAUAGCGAACAAGUACCGUGAGGGAAAGAUGAAAAGCACUUUGGAAAGAGAGUUAAACAGUACGUGAAAUUGUUGAAAGGGAAACGCUUGAAGUCAGUCGCGUUGGUUGAGACUCAGCCUUGCUUUGCAUGGUGUACUUCUCAGUUAACGGGUCAACAUCAAUUUCAGUUGGUGGAUAAAGGCAUUGGGAAUGUGGCACCUUCGGGUGUGUUAUAGACCUUUGUUGCAUACACUGACCGGGAUUGAGGAACGCAGCACGCCACUACGGCCAGGGAUUCGUCCCAUGUAACGUGCUUAGGAUGUUGGCAUAAUGGCUUUAAGCGACCCGUCUUGAAACACGGACCAAGGAGUCUAACAUGCCUGCGAGUAUUAGGGUGGAAAACCCUUGUGCGUAAUUAACGUGAAAGUUGGGACCUCUUGCGAGGGCACCGACGCCCGGCCCUGAAGUUUACUGACGGCGCUGCGGUAGAGCAUGUAUGUUGGGACCCGAAAGAUGGUGAACUAUGCCUGAAUAGGGUGAAGCCAGGGGAAACUCUGGUGGAGGCUCGUAGCGAUUCUGACGUGCAAAUCGAUCGUCAAAUUUGGG
rnacentral:rRNA from 1 species